rnacentral:lncRNA from 1 species
GAUAUCGGUGAGCAAAUCAAGGCAAAAACAAUAGUAUAACUUCAUUCUAUCAAAAAUGAGGGUUUUGUUUUUACUGUAAUCAGUUCAUAAUAAAAUGCAAAAAAACAAAACAAAAAAAAACAUGCUGCAUUAGGCCUAAUGUAAAGCAAUGUUUAGUUAUUUUUAAACAUUAUUAAAUAAAUUAGGAAAUUACCCAUGGCAACUAUAAUAACCUUCGGCCCACUAGCCUUAAUCAAGUUUGGUUUUUGGCCUUUCAUAAGAAAAAGUUUGGGCAUCCAGGUUCUAAAAUAUUUUCAGAAAUAGCAAACGUUUAUUGUAGGCGUGUUCUUAGUUUCUGGUGUUGUCCAAUUAGACAGCUCGGCUAAUUAAUCUCAAAUGUUAGGCUAGGCUAUUUCAAAUGUAUUUUCAGACAAACAAAUUCGAUAAAGAUGUAAUUAGAAUUUGUGAAAUUAUUGUAAAUUACUUUAUUCUUCGCUCGCAUUUCCUAAUAAGUUUAAACGGAAGUGAAGAGGCAGCCCAACGUUACUUUAUCUGAGGCCUAACUCGUUUGUUUACAUAAGCUAGCAUGUUGUACAUUUCUGACACACGAGAUAAAGUCGGGAUUUUCUAAACAUAUUUCUUCAACGUCACUGUGGAAAGUCGGCGAAAGUGAAGUGUACACAGCGUGCUUUCUGUGGAUGGCCUGCGUGUCUUCAGCACCGGCACAAUCCUCUAAGGACCUGGCCUGACUCAUCUGCGUGUGUGACAGGUAAGAAAAGAUACCAAACAACUCACAGUAAGACAAGCAGAGAGCUGCCCUGCACAGCGCCCUAUUUUUUUUUCCCCCUUUCUUUUUUGCGGCGACUAGAUAUUCAUUUUCACACCUCACUUCUCCAUAUUUAUGAUUGCCCAUGAGAACAUUUUUUAUUUAUGUUGACUUCUUUCAUAAACUGGACAGCGGUUUCUUUUUUUUUCUCUCUUUCUCCAUGUGUGUCAAAACAAUCUCUGAUUUAUAAUUUAUGUGAUUUAUG